ACAGAACAUAAUUUUUCUCCCCCCCUGCUUGUGAUGUUGACAUGUAGUUACAGUAAGACUGGUUUGUGCUCAAGUCCUCUUUUUUUCUGUGAAGCUCCGUUUUUAAAAGUUAUUAGGGGGUUCAUGUUUUCUAUGAUUGACACCUGAUACAGCCUAUUGGCGUUCAGGGAUUGCGUAGCUCUCCCAGGGGAUACGCUGUUUGAGCCGAGCGUCAUCACAGCGACUCUCGGCGACUGCG